GUUUCUUAUAGCUGUGUGUACUGAUUUAUACAAUACUCUGCUCUCUGUGUUGAGUUAUUUACAGUUUUGCAUUCAGACUCCUUAAGAGACAGGAGAUACAAUUGGAUUAGACAGCCAUCAUCCAGCAAGGAAGAUUCUAGUUGGGUACAUAUGUUUAUCAUGUUCCAUCCUUCAGGCCACUCACCAGCAUACACAUUUUGUUCUGUGGUCAAGGACUCAACCUAAUUCAAUUCUUCUCUUUGGCAGAGUCACACACCAUCAAGCAUGACGACCUAUAAGGAUGUUUAUGAGAAGGAGGCUGUAACUCAUGGAUAAGGGUCCUUCAUUGAGAUGCUCUGAACUUCUCAGAAAGGCUCAAUUCAAGUUUGUAUCCUAAAUCUUUAGUAAAAUUGGCAAUACACAAAAUAUCUUGGAUGAGUAAUUUUUGAGGGAAAUGAGGAAAAGACUGAUUUCCAUAUCUACAUUGCCAUAAGGAAGAGAAUAGGCAAAGCUCCAAGAAGUGAGGCAUGAGCAAGUUCCAGGACCCUGCAGGAGCAGCAGGCCACAGCCAGAAAUGACCAGAAGAAUGGAAGCCCUCGAGAGAGGAAUUCACUUAACUCUGGGUCUUUAUAGGGCAACCUCAUGAUAACAGGGAAAAGAUGGAUUUUGACUAUCAGUCACUUCCCAUUUGCCUGAUCAAAUCUAUUAAUUUUGGUGGAUUGUUUAUUGAGACAAAUCAAUAUCUUUGAAAAUGUAACCAAGGCAGGAAGAACUAUCAGGUGGACGUUUUUGUCAGAAACUUGAAGAAAGACCUAAAGGAGGGUCAGUCUUAAACUCUACACUGCAAAGCAUGACUCAACCUCUGGGACCCCAGCUGCCUAAAACCAUCCUGUAACAACCAUCACAGUGUCCAAGAUUUUCAGGGAAAGGAUCAAUAAAAUGUCCUUCUUAGAAGGAAAUGGGAGAGAAUAAAUAAGAAGGAGAAUAGGAAAGGUGCUAUUACACCCCCUGUGUCAGUUUGUCAGUUUGUCAAUCCAACAUAGCAAAACAACAACAACAAAAAUGCUUAAUUUACUUCCCUGUGAGGUUCCACCCCAAAUAAAACUUCUAAAUUAGAAGAGUAAACUUCAGAUGAAAGAUGCAGCAGCUUACAUGACAAGAAAAUAAAUGUUACCAGUCCAGCUGAUGUUCAGCUUCCAGGUCAUUUCUGUGUCCCCUGAAAACACCACAGGGAUGGUGGAGAGGGUGUGAAUCUCCAAAUAGGAUUUUGGCAUGGCUGGGGAUACCUGUUAUCCCAUCCUAUGUAGUGCUCCAGAUGCUUUGAAAUUGGCAAUCCUUUGAAAACAUAGACUUUUUUACUCAUUUCUGUAUCCCCAGAACCUGUCUUAUGCCAGUAGCUGUCAUAUAAUAAACCUUCAUGAUUGUUUUAUAAUAACAGUAAGCAUACAUUAAGACAGAUUAUUAUGUGGUGCUAAGUACUUGAUAUGGUUUGGCUCUGUGUCCCCACCCAAAUCUCAUGUCCAAUUGUAAUCCCCAGUGUUGGAGGAGGGGCCUGGUGGGAGAUGAUUGAAUCAUGGGGGUGGUUUCUAAUGGUUUAGCACCAUCCCCAUAGUGCUGUCUUAUGAUAGAGUUCUCACAAGAUCUGGUUGUUUGAAAGUGUGAGCACUUCCCCAUUCACUCUUUCUCUCCCGCCAGCCAUGUGAAGAUGUGACUGCUUCCCCCUUGCCUUCCACCAUGAUUGUAAGUUUUUUGAGGCCUCCCCAGAAGCAGAAGCCUGAACAACCUGUAGAACUAUAAGC
rnacentral:lncRNA from 10 species